UGCCAGCAGCCGCGGUAACACGGGGGGCGCAAGCGUUAUUCGGAAUUAUUGGGCGUAAAGGGCGCGCAGGCGGCGUUGUAAGUCAGAGGUGAAAGCCCGCAGCUAAACUGUGGAACUGCCUUUGAUACUGCAGUGCUUGAAUUAGGUUGAGGUCGGCGGAAUGUGACAUGUAGCGGUGAAAUGCUUAGAUAUGUCAUAGAACACCAAUUGCGAAGGCAGCUGGCUAGACCUAUAUUGACGCUGAGGCACGAAAGCGUGGGGAGCGAACAGGAUUAGAUA
rnacentral:rRNA from 1 species